rnacentral:rRNA from 1 species
UGGGGAAUAUUGGGCAAUGGAGGCAACUCUGACCCAGCAAUGCCGCGUGAGUGAUGAAGGUAAUUUUAUUGUAAAGCUCUUUUCUUUGGAACGAAUAAAUGACGGUACCAAAGGAAUAAGCCCCGGCUAACUACGUGCCAGCAGCCGCGGUAAUACGUAGGGGGCAAGCGUUGUUCGGAAUGACUGGGCGUAAAGGGUGUGUAGGUGGUUUGAUAAGUUAGAUGUGUAAUACCCAGGGCUUAACUCGGGUGCUGCAUCUAAAACUGUUAGACUUGAGUACUGGAGAGGAUAGUGGAAUUCCUA